AACGAACGCUGGCGGCAUGCCUAACACAUGCAAGUCGAACGAGACCUUCGGGUCUAGUGGCGCACGGGUGCGUAACGCGUGGGAAUCUGCCCUUGGGUUCGGAAUAACAGUUGGAAACGACUGCUAAUACCGGAUGAUGACGUAAGUCCAAAGAUUUAUCGCCCAAGGAUGAGCCCGCGUAGGAUUAGCUAGUUGGUGAGGUAAAGGCUCGCCAAGGCGACGAUCCUUAGCUGGUCUGAGAGGAUGAUCAGCCACACUGGGACUGAGACACGGCCCAGACUCCUACGGGAAGCAGCAGUGGGGAAUAUUGGACGAUGGGCGAAAGCCUAAUCCAGCAAUGCCGCGUAAGUGAUGAAGGCCUUAGGAUUGUAAAGCUCUUUUACCCGAGAUGAUAAUGACAGUACCGGGAGAAUAAGCUCCGGCUAACUCCGUG
rnacentral:rRNA from 1 species